rnacentral:rRNA from 1 species
UGGCGAACGGCUUAGUAACACGUGGGCAACCUGCCCUUUGCACUGGGAUAGCCUCGGGAAACCGAGGUUAAUACCGGAUACUCCAUAUCCAUCGCAUGAUAGAUAUGGGAAAGCUCCGGCGGCAAAGGAUGGGCCCGCGGCCUGUUAGCUAGUUGGUGGGGUAGUGGCCUACCAAGGCAAUGAUGGGUAGCCGGGUUGAGAGACCGACCGGCCAGAUUGGGACUGAGACACGGCCCAGACUCCUACGGGAGGCAGCAGUA